rnacentral:rRNA from 1 species
GAUGAACGCUGGCGGCGUGCUUAACACAUGCAAGUCGAACGAUGAAGCCCAGCUUGCUGGGUGGAUUAGUGGCGAACGGGUGAGUAACACGUGAGUAACCUGCCCUUAACUCUGGGAUAAGCCUGGGAAACUGGGUCUAAUACCGGAUAGGAGCGUCCACCGCAUGGUGGGUGUUGGAAAGAUUUAUCGGUUUUGGAUGGACUCGCGGCCUAUCAGCUUGUUGGUGAGGUAAUGGCUCACCAAGGCGACGACGGGUAGCCGGCCUGAGAGGGUGACCGGCCACACUGGGACUGAGACACGGCCCAGACUCCUACGGGAGGCAGCAGUGGUGAAUAUUGCACAAUGGGCGCAAGCCUGAUGCAGCGACGCCGCGUGAGGGAUGACGGCCUUCGGGUUGUAAACCUCUUUCAGUAGGGAAGAAGCGAAAGUGACGGUACCUGCAGAAGAAGCACCGGCUAACUACGUG